CAAUAGAUAGGGAAAAACAAGGACAGCAGAAAAGAACUGUGAAGAAACAUAUUUGCUUAUAUUAUUUCAAAGUGGAUUGUAAAUAUUUGAGAUUGGUAGAUGCUGUAGGCAGAGGCAGCAUAAAAUGAAUGAAAAAUCUCACAUGUCUGAGAGGUCACACUGCAAGUCUAACCCUGCCUCAGUUGGCAGCAGGGUUCAUCCAGAGGCCAUUAGAUUUCUCGCUCCUGUGAACACCUGGAACCCAGUUUCCUGCCCCUUCCCCCACUUGAUGUGUGUGUGCAUGCACACACAAACACACAGACACACACACCCAGCAUGUGGCAAUACAAGUCAACAGCAACAGCUCCUGCUCCAGGAAUGACAUUCACCUGCUGUGUCUAGGUCUCCAGUGCAAUGGUCUCUGACUCCUGGAUUCUGAACCAUGUGUACCCAGAGCCUUGGUGCCUGCCUGAAGGAGUCUCAGCUGAUCUGAGAUUCCGUCCUGUACAUUCCAGGAUUUUGAUGCCAAUUGGGUUUGUUCCUUGAAGCUUAACUUCUAUUUACAAAAGACUUGAAAAUAUUUAAGCUCUGUCAGCCAACUAUUCCAUUUCUGGGAAUUUGCCAUUAGGAAGUAAUUAGGGAUUCUUGAGAUUUAUGCAUAAAGCUGUUCAUGUCUGUGUUACAUACAACAGUGAGAAAAAUGACAACAAAUUAAUUGUAGUUCCCAACAGGGGAUUUCUUAAAUAAAUUAUGAUACAUCUACGAGGAUCUAGAAGGGAACUUCUGUCUCCUGUCUCACACGGUAGCCCAUUCCAUCAUUAGGAAGUGCCGACAAUCAGAAUAUUCUCCACACCCUCUUCCCUCUGGCCAUAGAUCUGUUCUUGAGUGACACGCAGAGCAAAUCUAAAUUUCUUUUUCUCAUGAUGACCUUUCAAAUAAUUAAAGCAGAUCCUAUGUUCCCGUUCAAUAUUUCCUGCUCUAGGCUACAUCUCCCCUGAUUCCUUCAACUGUUCUCAGAUGAUGUAAUUU
rnacentral:lncRNA from 10 species